rnacentral:rRNA from 1 species
CCUACGGGAGGCUGCAGUGGGGAAUAUUGGACAAUGGGGGCAACCCUGAUCCAGCCAUGCCGCGUGUGUGAAGAAGGCCCUCGGGUUGUAAAGCACUUUCAGUGAGGAAGAACGCCUGGUGGUUAAUACCCAUCAGGAAAGACAUCACUCACAGAAGAAGCACCGGCUAACUCCGUGCCAGCAGCCGCGGUAAUACGGAGGGUGCGAGCGUUAAUCGGAAUUACUGGGCGUAAAGCGCGCGUAGGUGGCUUGAUAAGCAGGUUGUGAAAGCCCCGGGCUCAACCUGGGAACGGCAUCCGGAACUGUCAAGCUAGAGUGCAGGAGAGGAAGGUAGAAUUCCCGGUGUAGCGGUGAAAUGCGUAGAGAUCGGGAGGAAUACCAGUGGCGAAGGCGGCCUUCUGGACUGACACUGACACUGAGGUGCGAAAGCGUGGGUAGCAAACAGGAUUAGAUACCCCUGUAGUC